AGUACAGGAUGUCAACAAAUUUACCGAAAUGAAUGGUAAACUAGAGAACAGCAGAAUUACAUUAGUGCAGAUCCAUGUUGUUUUAUCUUUCUAUCUAACCUAUGUGUCAGGUUUAAAAAUAAGUCAGUGUUAUGUUAGCAAAUGAAAACAUCUGCUGCCUGUAUUUUUCCCUUUCUUACUCAGAAAAAACGAGUUACAUGUUAAGUGCUUUUUGGUCAAAAGUCACUAUUCAGAGUUCCCAACUCUUCACUUUUCAGUUAAUACUUUUUGAAACCCCACAUAAUGGCAGAGUGAUAGACCAUAUAUGAUUAGCAGUGGCCUGUUUAACACCUGCUAAGGGGUGAAUUGUAUUUUUGUGAUUACCACUGUGUGAAAAGUCUCAAUCUGCGUUCCUGAUCACACAAGCAACUAUUAUUGCUCUAUGUUGAUAAGCCUCAGAGAUGGGGCACACUAAGUUAGUGCCCAAUGCUAAACAGCAAUCUCAUAUGAUAUUAAACUUUGUAUUUGGCCUGCUGCUGAAGGGGGACAUGUUGUUUUUUCGGAACCAAUUGUGGAUGUGCGAAAGCUUUUCAGCUGCUUAUGGGACCUUUCAAGCAGACGAAGAUGUCAUUCUACAUUGGCAAGUACCAUACACAAGGACUAAGUCAACUUGGAUUAGUCAUUGGUUGUGCAUGUUUGGUUAUCCACUUAGAAAUCCUGCAGAAGGUCCCAAGAAAUAAACCCACAGAAGGUUUGCACAGAUUAAUGUCUUAUAUAAAUAAUUAUAAUGAAUCGGGAGAUGGAGGCCGGUCUUUUUAUAAAGUGCUGACGUUUGGAAACGCGACCAGAAAUUUCCAUAUUUUAGUCACACUCCUUCAUGUUAUGGUAUUUUAUAUGUCUAAAUGGAAGUGUAUAUCUGGGCUCCCUUCUUUUCUGUGGCCCCGUUUCCCCUUGACUCGUAAUAAGCCCGUAGGGGGUCAUGCCCCUACUGUGAUCAGCAGUAAAGGUUGUGAGCGCGCUGUCCGGAAAGGGGACGU